rfam:Triticum aestivum genome assembly, contig: Triticum_aestivum_CS42_TGACv1_scaffold_177630_2DS
GGUGUACUCCCUCCGUCCGAAAAAAUUUGUCCCAAGCUUGUCCCUCAAAUGGAUGUAUCUUGCACCAAAUUAGUUCUAGAUACAUUCAUUUGAGAGACAAGUUUUUUCGGACGGAGGGAGUAGUUA